rnacentral:lncRNA from 1 species
GCUUAAUGUGAAUUGUUGACAAAUGGAACUUUAACUAAAUAGAAAUUUAAAACAGUGAGUCCUUAGAAAAGGAGGGCCAGUCAUCUAGUCCCUUAGCAUCAGCAACAGGCAUUCUGCCAGACGCUGUCCAUGUUGCCCACCUGAUGGAAAACUGGAUCAAAAGGCACUCUGGGAAGUCACUGCAAAGGCAGCAGCGUCUCCUGAUUUCAGAGAAACCGGGAAACCAAAGAUCCUUCUCCUCAGUGCACUUUUAUAAUGUGAAAAGAACUCCAAAAGCAAAGACUAUCAAAGGCCGUCCAGCAAUCUGUUAAAAUGUCAGCUCACGCUUCCAGCUGCAAACUUGAAAUAACACAUUCAAUCUGUCUUCUAAUC